rnacentral:rRNA from 1 species
UCGAACGGAGCUUAGAGAGCUUGCUUUUUAAGCUUAGUGGCGAACGGGUGCGUAACGCGUGAGUAACCUGCCCUAGAGUGGGGGACAACAGUUGGAAACGACUGCUAAUACCGCAUAAGCCCACGGUACCGCAUGGCACUGAGGGAAAAGGAUUUAUUCGCUUUAGGAUGGACUCGCGUCCAAUUAGCUAGUUGGUGAGGUAACGGCCCACCAAGGCGACGAUUGGUAGCCGGACUGAGAGGUUGAACGGCCACAUUGGGACUGAGACACGGCCCAGACUCCUACGGGAGGCAGCAGUGGGGGAUAUUGCACAAUGGGGGAAACCCUGAUGCAGCGACGCCGCGUGGAGGAAGAAGGUUUUCGGAUUGUAAACUCCUGUCGUUAGGGACGAUAAUGACGGUACCUAACAAGAAAGCACCGGCUAACUACGUGCCAGCAGCCGCGGUAAAACGUAGGGUGCAAGCGUUGUCCGGAAUUACUGGGUGUAAAGGGAGCGCAGGCGGGAAGACAAGUUGGAAGUGAAAACCAUGGGCUCAACCCAUGAAUUGCUUUCAAAACUGUUUUUCUUGAGUAGUGCAGAGGUAGAUGGAAUUCCCGGUGUAGCGGUGGAAUGCGUAGAUAUCGGGAGGAACACCAGUGGCGAAGGCGGUCUACUGGGCACCAACUGACGCUGAG